AAUUCCCUUUUGGUACAGGAGAAGAUUCUAAAAUGAACCAGGAACCACUGCAGAGCUGUAGAAUAUCUCCCAGGAAUAUGAAUCAAAAGGAGAUGACAGCACAUUAUAUGCUUUGCAGAUUGAAAAAGACAUCUGUUGCUCAUUCUUUUAGCCCUAUGCUGCCAAAGCAUAAAUAUGAAAAUCAAGAAGGGACAUGUCUGGUAUUAUGCACUCCAGUACUUGGUUCUUAGUCACCUCUGCUGUCCAAGGAAUACGCAGGAGUCUUCUCCAGCACCAUAACUGAAACAACUAAUUUACAAGUAAGAGAUCUCUUAAAAUACAGGUUUUUGUUUCAUUACAAAACUGCUUGUUUCGUAGGUUUCUUCAGAACUAGUGCAUAAAGUGAGGUAUAUUUUAUUGUAAAUUUAUUGUCAUAAAAUUUGAAAAUGUGCGCCUGGGCAACAAUGUCUGGGUGGGUAUAUCAAACAACUGCCUAUUUCUCCUUAAUCUCGUUUUGCCCUGCAUAUCCAGUGUUCCAGAACUGGGGAAAAAAUUAUUUCCCUACUUUUUCCAAAACUAAGGCUGUGCAUCAGGAUUGAAUUAGAGGGUUAAGUAUAUUAAGAACUACUGCAGAGAAUACAUAAUUUAUACCGAAUGCAUAGAAUUCAUGUUUUCCUUUUGGCUGCAAAGUUUGGCAUAUAGUACAAAAAAUCCUGGACCUUAGUUU